rnacentral:lncRNA from 1 species
GGCUGUUUUAGACGUGUGCAUCCAAUGACCACAGUGAAAAUGAAUCCAGUGAUGUGUCAGGGUGUGGAAACGGUGAAAGUGGGCGUGGUUCUUACUACACCUACAGGUGAAGCCCAGACAAAAUGUGUGUGUGAGGCUGUGGACGGUCAGUGUGCAGUCAUUUGUGAGGGAGGAUACAGACUGGACUACACAGCAGGAAAGGAUGAGGGUAUAAAGUCUUUCUCAUUCGACUAUGCUGCGGUCGUGGAUGACAUUGAGAUUCUCUACCAGAAACUCCUCCAGCCGCUCACUGAGUUCAUUUCUACUGGCUACAAUGUGGCAUUACUUCUAUGUGGAGCCUCUUCAGAGCCAAUCUCAUCUCUGACUGACCACAGUCUCAUCAGACAGCUUUUAAGGAGUCUGUUCUCCUGUGUGAAGUCCCAAGAAAAAGAGGAGUUAUUCACCUCGGUUUCAUGUCUUCAGUUUCAUCCUGAUGACAUUGAGGUGGAUGUCCUGAGCCUGAACAAACAGCCUCUACAGCUGGUGAAACACCCAGCUCUAGGCUGGUGGGUCUGAAACAGUCUUGCAGUGAACCCUGAUGUGAAACAGGACAUUUGUCUGUUUUUAUUUUUUUGUUUUGUUUUUGCAGUAUUGUGGCUGGGUUGUGUGAGGUGUCAGUGUGUUCAGCUGAGGAAGCUUAUACUGUGU